rnacentral:rRNA from 1 species
CAGCCGUAAACUAUGCGCGUUAGGUGUAUCGGUGACCACGAGUCACCGAGGUGCCGAAGGGAAACCGUGAAACGUGCCGCCUGGGAAGUACGGUCGCAAGGCUGAAACUUAAAGGAAUUGACGGGGGAGCACCACAACGGGUGGAGCCUGCGGUUUAAUUGGACUCAACGCCGGGAAGCUCACCGGAUAAGACAGCGGAAUGAUUGCCGGGCUGAAGACUCUGCAUGACUAGCUGAGAGGAGGUGCAUGGCGUAGACGUCU